rnacentral:rRNA from 1 species
UUUAUGGAGAGUUUGAUCCUGGCUCAGGAUGAACGCUGGCGGCGUGCCUAAUACAUGCAAGUCGAGCGAACGGACGAGAAGCUUGCUUCUCUGAUGUUAGCGGCGGACGGGUGAGUAACACGUGGAUAACCUACCUAUAAGACUGGGAUAACUUCGGGAAACCGGAGCUAAUACCGGAUAAUAUUUUAAACCGCAUGGUUCAAAAGUGAAAGACGGUCUUGCUGUCACUUAUAGAUGGAUCCGCGCUGCAUUAGCUAGUUGGUAAGGUAACGGCUUACCAAGGCAACGAUGCAUAGCCGACCUGAGAGGGUGAUCGGCCACACUGGAACUGAGACACGGUCCAGACUCCUACGGGAGGCAGCAGUAGGGAAUCUUCCGCAAUGGGCGAAAGCCUGACGGAGCAACGCCGCGUGAGUGAUGAAGGUCUUCGGAUCGUAAAACUCUGUUAUUAGGGAAGAACAUAUGUGUAAGUAACUGUGCACAUCUUGACGGUACCUAAUCAGAAAGCCACGGCUAACUACGUGCCAGCAGCCGCGGUAAUACGUAGGUGGCAAGCGUUAUCCGGAAUUAUUGGGCGUAAAGCGCGCGUAGGCGGUUUUUUAAGUCUGAUGUGAAAGCCCACGGCUCAACCGUGGAGGGUCAUUGGAAACUGGAAAACUUGAGUGCAGAAGAGGAAAGUGGAAUUCCAUGUGUAGCGGUGAAAUGCGCAGAGAUAUGGAGGAACACCAGUGGCGAAGGCGACUUUCUGGUCUGUAACUGACGCUGAUGUGCGAAAGCGUGGGGAUCAAACAGGAUUAGAUACCCUGGUAGUCCACGCCGUAAACGAUGAGUGCUAAGUGUUAGGGGGUUUCCGCCCCUUAGUGCUGCAGCUAACGCAUUAAGCACUCCGCCUGGGGAGUACGACCGCAAGGUUGAAACUCAAAGGAAUUGACGGGGACCCGCACAAGCGGUGGAGCAUGUGGUUUAAUUCGAAGCAACGCGAAGAACCUUACCAAAUCUUGACAUCCUUUGACAACUCUAGAGAUAGA